CCAGUUCCGGUUAGUGCCAGCAGCAGUCCCGACGUCGACGGCGACGAGGACGACGCGACGUGAUGUGAGUGAGUGUGGAUUAGCGCUGUUGAAGCGGUAAUAAACAGAGGAUUAACAUACGUAAUACAAUACUCUUGUACCAGUCAGUAGUCUGAAAGGCCCCAGAAAAGCACGCCAAGGAAUAUAGCAGCAGUUUGCCGCCCAUGCACACGGGAAAUCGUUGCCUACGUGAUUUCCUCCAACCAAGAUUCGGCGGUUCCGAGGCGGACUGGAAACUUUGCGAGCGGCUUAAUCCAAUUAAAUUGCAACGACUCCCGGUGGUCGCCCGUGUAGGCAGCAAAUCUUUCCCGGCACAAAUCCAGCUCACAACAAGACACAACAAGUACGAGUGAGUUGCAAUCAUCACCAGGCCCUGGGAAGCACUUGAUUCGAUCUGUGAAACUGCCACACCCCGGCAGAGAUCGAUACACCUGGACGGACGUCACCUUGUUAGCCGACAGAGAAACAGAGCCAUCGUCAUCGUCAUCGUCCACACAGACAACGCGCGUUCAUUUUCCGUGCUUGUUUAUGGGACUAAUAAAGGGAGUCUAGUUGAAACGUUGUCGGUGCUGCAGAUGUUGCCAUUUUUCUCGCAGCACAAGAGCACUCGGACCGUUUCAGGACUUUUCCAGCUAUAGUGUCCGGAUUCUUUAUUGGCGCUCGUUAAGUGGACAUAAACUGCGAAGCUGCUGAGCGAGACACGGAACGAAGUUGGACGAAGGUUGGAAUCCCAAUAAUGAAGUGGAGAAACGGUUAUCGAACGUCCUGCUAGAUUGGAGCACUCUAAAGGACUGAGGAGUGGGGAUAGGAACCGAGGUCCGGCUUGCAUUGCAAUGGGUUAGGACCGAAUGGAAGGAAUGCAAUCUAACCGAGACACUCCGGAUAUGUACUGGCAGCCGUCGUUAUUUCGCAAUUAUGUGCAAGCCAUUGCGAUAAAUUCUCCGCUUCCUUUGCACUUCUCGCCGCACUAGUCAAUAUAUCGAAAGUACAAAGUGCUUCGCCUGGGAAAGGCAGAGAAACGCCAAAUCAACAUUAGUCUGCCAGCAAAGGGGAACAAAUAUCUGCAACGAGGUCGAACCGGUUCUUCGUGACACAUCGUCCUUAUAAGAAAAGGAAAAAAGCAAAAAAAAAAACUAUAUCGGAAAAACAAUUUAGAAUAACACUUUGAACCGAAACCUGACUGACGUGCCACCACCCCCGAACGGAACCCAGCCAGCGUGGUACUGUACUGUAGUAUGACCAAAAAGCGAUUGCCGAGAAAAUGAGCAAACGGAAAAAGAAAAACUUUGCCCGCCUUCAGCUUUUCCGAUCCCGACAUCAUUCCGCCCAAGUUAGUAGUAUGUAGUCGUCUUCGUCGAAACGAAACAUAACACACAGGCAGGCCACCCCGGGAGAGAUUCAAGAGACCCAGCCAGGGCCAGAGUGCUUUGAAAACUGCAAUCAUCGACAUCGAGUGACGUGAAGGGGGGGAACACUUGGGAAAGCUUGAGUGUUGGUCAGUUUAGCAGUAACGGCGAAAAGAAAACUUCUGUGCGGUUUGUGGUUCGCUAUUCAGAGUGACGGAAAAACGGAAACGGAAGAAAGAAAUAAUAGUGUGUAAAUAAACGUCGUCGUUGAACCGUCGAAUUGCUGACGUCGGUCGUUGGUCAGACUGUCCGUGGUGAGAAACUAGUGCUCAACGAAAUGGUGAGGUCGUUAGUGUUCGGCUAUUAUUCUGGCAUCAACAACAACGGUAGUGAUUGAUUGGACCACGACGACGACGACGACGACGACGACGAAGACGCGACACUGCCCGACCCCGAAAAUGUUCGUCAAGUUCCAGUACUUCUGCAUCAUCUACUUCCUGCUGGUGCGGCACCUGAACGGGUCCACGAUGGACCUGUACAAGAACUCGCGCCUCAGCCAGCGGAUCGUGCAGACGCGGUACGGGCGGCUCCAGGGCCUCAUCCUGCCGCUGGAAGGUUACAAAUUCCUCAAACCCAUCGAAGCGUUCCUGGGCGUCCCGUACGCCACGCCGCCAACCAAGAUGAAUAGGUAAACCCAUCAAUUACCCCAUGGAAGCAAUUUCCCAACGAUGAGCUGUGCAAUGACUCGUGAGAUUGCUUCAUGAUCCUACCCGGAAACUAGAAAACUUCCACUGGCCUGUCAAAUGAGUGCCAUCCAUUAGCCAUUCCAGCAGUGCCAAAGUAUCGUUUAAUGGGGUUUAUCUGGCAGGAAAAUAAUGAAAUACUGCCUAUCGUCAACCGGGCGGUACGGUGCGGUGGUGUAACCAUCGCGAAAUGUUGUAAUCCAAAAGACUAGAGUCACCACUCGCCCUCAAGCCGUCCAUCCAUCCCACCCAUCUGGGCAGGUUCGCCUAAUUAAACCAUAAAUUUUAAAUCACUCAAUGAUGGGGUCUCAUUAUCCUUUACGACGCCGACUACGGCGAUGGCGACAAAGACAAAGACAAAGACGACGAAAAACUUCAAUCCGCGGGACAUUGACUAAUGAACGGAGUGCGCUUUGCUUGUACCCUUCCAGUUUUCAAGGACGAAUAAAUCUCCGAUUAUUAGCGCCCACCAAUCUUCGCGUGGCUUCGAGACGGUGAACGGGUUAAGAGACAGGGAUGCCAGGUGCUUUUCCUACGAUGAAAAUGAAAUUUCGAAUUUUCUUGGUAUUUAAGCUGGCGGGGAAUAACAAAAGGAGUUAAGGCGAAACUGGAAGCAUUUCCUCACUUUUUGGUUUUUGAUUUUUUAUUAAAUAACGAAGCAAUAUUUUCAAAAUCGGUUUUCGUGCACAUGUAGAGUAUGGAUCAAGGUAUCUUCUGAAUUUUUUUGG